rnacentral:rRNA from 1 species
GACGAACGCUGGCGGCGUGCUUAACACAUGCAAGUCGAACGAAGCUUGAUUACGGAUUCUUCGCAUGAAGUAUGAUAUGACUGAGUGGCGGACGGGUGAGUAACGCGUGAGUAACCUGCCCUUCAGAGGGGGAUAGCGUUUGGAAACGAACGGUAAUACCGCAUAAUGUAUUUUGACCGCAUGAUCGAAAUACCAAAGAUUUAUCGCUGAAGGAUGGACUCGCGUCUGAUUAGGUAGUUGGUGGGGUAACGGCCUACCAAGCCGACGAUCAGUAGCCGGACUGAGAGGUUGAUCGGCCACAUUGGGACUGAGACACGGCCCAGACUCCUACGGGAGGCAGCAGUGGGGAAUAUUGCACAAUGGGCGCAAGCCUGAUGCAGCAACGCCGCGUGAAGGAAGACGGUUUUCGGAUUGUAAACUUCUGUUCUUAGUGAAGAAUAAUGACGGUAGCUAAGGAGCAAGCCACGGCUAACUACGUG